rnacentral:snRNA from 1 species
GGGUGUGAGGGCGAUCUGGCUGUGACAUCUGUCACCCCAUUGAUCAGCAGGGUUGAUCAGCUGAUCUGGCUGGCUGGGUGGGCGUGCCCUUCCUCCCUCACUGCUGCAUGAGUUUCCCUCCUAAAGCUGGGUGCUCAGUUGGUCGGUCGAGGAGGAUGACCACCCCCGUUACAAGAGGACCAUUUCCUUGGUCAAGGGUAUAGGAGUCGCUACUCUCCCCUGCCAGGACAUCCAAACAAACUCUCAAAAUUGUAGAUCCUGGAAGAAAACCACACAUCUGAAAUCACAGAAAAGAAUUUUUUUCUUUUCUUUUGGUU